AGUUCUGGCAGGGGAGAAAAGGGGAGGGAACACAGAUAAUCCUUUAGGUGCGCUGAGCCUACGAGAUGCCCCAGGGAGAUGUCUGGGGACAGCAGGUGACACUACUCUCACCCCCAGCAGAAGCCUCGCCCCCUCAUCGGGAUCUUGAGCACCCCUGGGACCCUCCUGCACCUCAUCCAUUGCCAUCACAUCCCCUGAAGUUCUUGCAUAAACUCACCAAUCCCUGCUCCAUGAUUACUUGGUCACGCUCUACAAACGCCUUACGAAUGAGAAAACGCUUUCACAUGCUAGACUGAAGGCAAGUGAAGAGGCUGUAGAAGGCAGAGACGUGGAUCCCUCCAGCCUACGUUACCAAUGCUUUGAGAAGUCAAGAAAGAAAAUGCGAAGGAAGGAAGCCACUUACAAAGACACCGGAGCUAACAGAAUACUUUGCCCUCCUACUGUGUACACCA
rnacentral:lncRNA from 1 species